rfam:Schistosoma mansoni strain Puerto Rico chromosome 3, complete genome
AGGGCUUCUUGGCUCUCUGAGCUAAGAUCAUGUGUAGUAUCUGUUCUUUGCAGUGUAAUUUCUGCAACGGUCUCUAAACUGAGACCAAUGAAAUUACCUGUAUUUUUCACCUCCGGACGUGUGCUGUAAGCUUGCUCAACCCCGUCCACGGGUCGGCCUCGUAUUGCAUUGAUUUAGUUGCACAAUUUCAUAAUA